GGGGCUGUGGCUUAGUGGUAGAGCACUCGCCUAACAAGUAUGAAGCACUGGGUUCAAUCCUCAGCACCA
rnacentral:tRNA from 1 species